CUCCAGCUAGCCCCGCAAUAGCACUGCCAGCUAGGGAUCAAGCUUUCAAACGAACCAUCUUACUUUGGCCAACGAAAUGAAACUCAAGUGAUGAUCUCCGAGAGAAGGACUGAACUGCUGCCUGGUCCACUCUCCUCUCUUUGUUAUGGUGGCCUUGCUGACGUGAAGACAGGAUUUCUCUGCGGAGUCCUGGCUGUCCUGGAACUUGCUCUGUGGACCCGGUUGGCCUUGAACUCACAGAGAUCCACCUGCCUCUGUCUCUGAAUGUUGAGAUUAAAGACAUGUGCCACCAGCUGGGUUUGACUUUGCUUUUUAAAGAGAAGGGAGAAAUGCAGAGCUGAGUGAAAUAUUUGAUACAUAGAAGAGAAUGAGGAAAAGGCGG